CCUGCCGAUAACUCGGGGAUAGCCUUUCAAAAGAAAGAUUAAUACCCGAUAGUAUAGUAUUUCCGCAUGGUUUCACUAUUAAAGAAUUUCGGUUAUCGAUGGGGAUGCGUUCCAUUAGAUAGUUGGCGGGGUAACGGCCCACCAAGUCAACGAUGGAUAGGGGUUCUGAGAGGAAGGUCCCCCACAUUGGAACUGAGACACGGUCCAAACUCCUACGGGAGGCAGCAGUGAGGAAUAUUGGUCAAUGGACGAGAGUCUGAACCAGCCAAGUAGCGUGAAGGAUGACUGCCCUAUGGGUUGUAAACUUCUUUUAUACGGGAAUAAAGUGGAGUAUGCAUACUCCUUUGUAUGUACCGUAUGAAUAAGGAUCGGCUAACUCCGUGCCAGCAGCCGCGGUAAUACGGAGGAUCCGAGCGUUAUCCGGAUUUAUUGGGUUUAAAGGGAGCGUAGGCGGGUGCUUAAGUCAGUUGUGAAAGUUUGCGGCUCAACCGUAAAAUUGCAGUUGAUACUGGGCGCCUUGAGUGCAGCAUAGGUAGGCGGAAUUCGUGGUGUAGCGGUGAAAUGCUUAGAUAUCACGAAGAACUCCGAUUGCGAAGGCAGCUUACUGGACCGUAACUGACGCUGAUGCUCGAAAGUGUGGGUAUCAAACAGGAUUAGAUACCCUGGUAGUCCACACAGUAAACGAUGAAUACUCGCUGUUGGCGAUACACAGUCAGCGGCCAAGCGAAAGCAUUAAGUAUUCCACCUGGGGAGUAC
rnacentral:rRNA from 1 species